rnacentral:tRNA from 1 species
UUCUCAGUAGCUGAAUGGAUAACGCUAUGGCUUUUGAAGCGAAAGGUACUGGGUUCGAGUCUCAGAGUGAA